rnacentral:sRNA from 1 species
CCGAGUGCAAUUAAACUAAUAAAACAAACGUGAAUUACUAA